CACCCAGUUCGUCCUGUACAAGUAGUUAUGAUCGUUUGAAGUUGACCCUAAAAGGACUAUUUUGAUAGGCUAAAGUAAAUCGACCAUAACUCUUUGUUCCGAUAUCAGAUUUGGGUGAAAUUGGUAUCGUUGGAAAGAUAAUUCAAAGGGCUUUCAUUUAAUAUAAAGUAGGACACCCAGUUAGUCUUGUACAAGGAGUUAUGAUCGUUUAAAGUUGAACCUAAAAAUCUGUUUUGAGAGGCUGAAGUAAAACAAGUAUAACUCCUUACUUAGAUGUUGGAUUUGGAUGAAACCAAUUGAAUUGGAAAGAAGACUCAAAGAUCUUUCUUUUGAUAGGUGGUAGCUCUCCCAGUUCAUUAUAUUGAGGGAGUUAUGAUCGUUCAAAGUUGACCCAAAAAACUGGCAGGCCUCAGUAGUUUCCUGCACAUUUUACUG
rnacentral:lncRNA from 1 species